CACCCUUUUGCUUUUGCUCGAAUUAGACUUGAUUGAUGCAUGCCUUUCUUUCUUCUACACGUAACCCUGUCUUUUUGCCUUUUCUUUCUCUCCUUCUUUGGUUUCUCUUCUGCUUUCUUUUUCCUUAAUCCCUCCCCUUCUCAAACCUUACACGUCCAUGGCCUCCGCGGGAGCGUGACGCGUGCAAAAGAUGCACCAAAGAUCAUCGAACCAUGGUAUCGAUUCUACACGGAUGUCCCUCUCCAUAUAUGUCUUCUCAAGAAAAGCAUUUUUUUCACAGUGGACCAGAAUCUAUGGAGAUUAAUAAGAUGCACGGAGAUUUAUGUGAGCUUAAUGCGUUACACUUUUAUAUAUGGUAUUAUAUAAACUGGUCCGUUUCCUCUCAUCUUUCAUUAUCCUCAACUUCGCUCACAUAUCACUUUCCAAGUUGCUGCUCCACCCCAGGACGGAGAUGAUCCCCCUCAUCAUGUAGUGCCCAGAAAUCUUGUAGUCUCUGCUUCGCAAAAUGAAGAACCCCCACGGCUGUGAGGUCUCUGUCUUCAUUUACCAAUGAGUUGGAGAUGUGUUUGAGAAUAGACUUCUUUGAACACAUCGAUGGAGUUGGCCAAGACAACGUUUUCCAAAAUGCUAGAAGAAAUGGUGGAAGAGGAGAGUCACUGAUUUUUGGAUUUUUUCCAUCAUGACUUGUGACUUACAGAUAUUACCAACAUAAAUGAUAUUAUAGGAAUCCACUUUAAUACUAGCCAACUUUUCUUGGAAGGCAAUAUGUCCAGGUUGUCUGCAAAAAUCUUCAAAAUGGUUAUCAUAUGGCAUGAAUGGUUUUUGCAUAAAUUGACUCCAGAGAAGUGUGUCCAAUAUGAAUAAGAGGACAACAAUCACAUUGUAUUAUCCAAAGGGACAUGGUGGCGAAGACACAAAUUUAUUAGUCAUUCUCUUCGGCGUAGUUCGCAU
rnacentral:lncRNA from 1 species